CUUGUGAUACUGUGAAUGUUAGCAUUACAUCGUCAAUUUCGUAGUUUGGUGCCCAUUUAGUCCGUAUUAUAAUGAAUUUGACCAACUUAGAGCAUUUAAAGUGGGUUUUAGUCGUACAUUUUGUCUUAGCUCCAGAUCUGAAACAACACAAACCCCCCAGGAACGUCUCCAGCCCAAAAGCAGAUGAUGGACGUACGAUGAGCUCGAGGAUACUCGUCCACUGGCGAUGACCCUUGAGGGCGCGGCCUUUCUCCCUCCGUGUACUGAGAUGGUUCCUCGCAUACCUGCAGGGAUAACGGGUCAGUAAGUACCCACCGCUGUUUUCUCAGGGUGGUAAUACUUGAAAUAUAUUGCAACUCAGUGAAGCUGUGAUUUGAAAAAAAGUGUGGAAAAUGGACCAAGAUAUGUGUGAAAAUAACACUUCACUCACAUCGUCGUCUGACUGGAAGUUCAGCUGCUUGGCAGUUACAAAUUGUCUCACUUGUCGUGCGAGCUAGACUGUAAGUCACACAUUUUGAUGGAAAUCUUAACAAUGAUUCCUUUUUAUAUCGUGUCAUUACAAUAAUUCAAAACUGAUUCAUGUUUGAAUCAAUACCCUAUGUAUUCCAAAUAACUUUGUUUAAACAGUACACAGAAGAGCAAAACCACUGACGAAUUAGAAAUGUUGUUAUUUUAUUCUUUUAUUUUCUUCCACUUUUUCCUGGAUUCUAAAGUAGCAAGUGUGUCAUAACUUCAAUAGGCAAGAGCAGGUCCCUUGUCCAUCAGGAGACAUACAAUUACUAACACAGGACAAUUCAGAGUCAUCAGUUAACCCUUUUGGACUGUGGGAGGAAACCAGAGUGCUUUGUCAAAAGGUUACAAGCAAAUAGAGUAUACAUGCUCUGCACAGAGAGGUGUGUGGUUGCCUCAGGCUAGAUUCAAACCAAAGAUCUUCCUACUGGCUACUAGCUUACAAUUCUAAACCGUCUUUUAUGGUUAAUCAUUGUACUUACUGAGUCGUCCGGGCCACCCGGAUCUGGUCCUCGGAGCCUUCGCCCUGCUCCUGUCAAAUAAACAAAACAACAACAUUUAACUGACGGCGCGUGAGGAAGAAGGUAAGUGUCCAUUUUUGACGACAUAUAAAUCAAGAAACCACAAGUGCAUUGCAAUCAUUACAACAAAUAAUCUGCCUCUUAUACAGCUAUUAGAGAGAUUCCCAUGUGGCUGCAUUACUGUGAGUGUUUCACUGCGCUAAUGCAGUGUCAGCAAUUCUUGCAAUUAGAACAACAGCAAACAGGUAAGCACUCAGUUGUGUGGGUAUAUUCAGCAAUUUAAUGUUAAUAAGGAGACUGUCUCUCUAAACACACAACGGCUACCAGCGCACGGUAAAACUCCACAGCAUCACUUGCUCACACGUAAUUAUGAGACAUGCCUCCUUCAUGCUACUGGCUGUUGCCAUGAAAGGCCUUCAUGUUUUGACGAGGAGUUUGAUAUUGGAGAUGAGACUGAGCCUAUUCAGAGUUCUUCCUGGCAAUGAUUCCCCAAGAGAUCAGCUGCCUUCCUUGUCUGCUAACUGAUCCAUCGUAUCGAUCGACAGAUUAGACUGGCUCGCCUUUCUUGGUUUCCAAAAAUGGAAAGUCCGACCAAAUGAAUCAGAUUAGUCAUUGUGUUAUCAUUUCCCUGUUGGUGUUCGGUUACACAUUGAAUUUGUUUUCAAUUUUAGUCCCUUUUUUCCACAAAAAGUGCUACUGAAUCAUCAUAAUUUCAGGGGUUAAAACUC